GGAUGAUCUGGCGGCGACAUGUCACCCCACUGAUCGCCAGGUUUGAUUCAGCUGAUCUGUCUGGCUACGUGGGUGUCUCCUUCCAUUUCCUCAGUCAAGGGUAUAUAUAUGAGUAGCUGCUCUCCCCUUCUAGAACCUCCAAACAAGCUCUCAAAACACUGCUGUCCAUAAAUGUUUGAUGGAGUGGGGAAUAAGGAUUAAUUUCCUACUCCUUCCCUGUGGUGGGUCUUUAUUUAGG
rnacentral:snRNA from 1 species